rnacentral:lncRNA from 1 species
CGCCUUUGAUUAAAGGAUCGGAAUCAGCGGCGAGGAUGAGGUGGUGGACGAUGGCGAUGGAGAGAGAGAAAAUGAUGAAGUAGAGUUGGAUAGGGCGGAGACGAGGGUGGUUGGAGGAUGGGAGAGGGUGGUAGGGUUUGGAUGUGUAGGUGUGGGGGGAUUUGAAGUAGCUUAGGGUUGUGAGAAUUAGGUGGUAGAGACCUAAUGAAAGGAGUGCUGAGGAUGAUAAUGCUUGGUAUAAUAAACUUCCCAUUUUGAUUUUGAUGGUGGCGGUGGUGGUGAUGAUGAAGCUACUAGUGUUUUUUGAAGUAGUAACGAGGAGAAGAGAUUAUGAUUGGUGGAUUGAUUAUUAUUUUGUUCUUUCUUUCUUUUUGGUCAAGAGAAACAAACAAGAGAAAGAGAGGAUGGAUCAUUUUUUUGGAUCCUCAUUUUCUUUCCAUCACUUUGUUCUCUUCUUUUUUUUCUUACCAAAAAGUAGUGCAGAUAAAGUGGCAACUAUUUUAUUAAUUUUAUAUUUAAAAUAUAUAUUUUUAUAUUAAAAUAUAUAUAUAUAUAUAUAUUAUAUUAUAUAUUAUAUAUAAUUAUAUAUAUAUAUAUUACUAUAUUAUAUAAUUUUAGUAUAUCCAUAGCUAGAUGAAUGUUUAAUUUUAUAUAAAUAUUAUAUAUAUUAUAUAUUUAUAUUAUUUAAUAUAUAAUUAAUGGAAAAUAUAUACACACACAAAUAUAACCUUCUAACUUGCAUUUUUCUUUUUGAUCUUUAUCUUCUAAUUUUCAAUUCUUAAGGAAAGGAACGUGAUAACUUGGAAUUUAACAUAAAUAUAAAUAAAAUAUUGUUAAUGUGAUAAUUCUUUUUUAAUAGAAACUUUUAUUAAUUAUUUGGUUUAUAACUUGUAUCUUUAAUUGCAAGUAACUUGUAUCUAUAGUUGAGCUUAAAUUUCAAUCUUACUAAAUAUUUUAAUAAAUUAUAUAACUACGUUGUCUUAUAUCACAAUGUUUCAUUACAAAUCUCUUAACAAAUCUUUAUUUAUACUAACAAAAACACACAAAAAAAAACUUUUGGAAUUGGAUGUGGCUCGAGAAGGGAUGUUAAAAUACACACAAACAGUUUGCUAUUGGAAAAUUUGAUAAUUUGGGAUACAUAAUGCACAAAUUCUAUAUUAUAAAUCUAUAUAAAAAUUCAGAAUAGUUUUUUUUUUCUUUUUCUAAAAUUGCUUUACAUAUAUAAGUUAUUUCUUCCAACUUCCACUUCCUAAUGCUCACUUAAGACAUCAAACUGCUGGCUGCUGGACUUGGAAAGGCCGCAAUACACUCUUUCAACACAUUUCUUUUGGUCCAAACAAACACACUUCACACCACAACACAUUUGGACACCAACAGAAUAUGAAGAGAUUCAUGAAUUUAAAUCAAUCUUGAAAAAAUAAGGGAGUAAAAAAAAUGUCCAACUUAGUCGACCUUCCAAACUAAAUUAGGAGUACAAUGAGAAAGAUAACCAGCACCGCCACAAAAAUUAAAAGCACCCACCAACACUGCAAUGUAGAAAAAGUUAAAUUGAAGUUAUAUAUCAAAAGAGUCUACUUACUUGCUGGUGAUUAUAUCAGAGAAGUUCAACUGAAGUUAUAAAAUAGAAUUUAAAUAGGAUGCAUGUUAAAUAAUCUCAGAUUCUCUAAGAUGUCAUAUUAGAUCUCAAAAUAGCUUAUUAGUCUAUUAACAAAAGGUUAGAGCGGACUUUAAAAAUAGGUCUAUAACAUGUAAGAGGUCAGACUCAGGCCAAAUGAUUUCAAAGUAGAAAAUACUCGGAACUUGCAAAAUCCUAGCGUAUUCCCUCCUCUAGAUACUACCCUCGCAUUGCAUCUCCUUUUAUCUAUACGCAGCAAAUGAGCUGUGUGCAGAUGUGUAUGACAUGACAAAAAAAUCAGGGAAUUUUGUGCAAUUAUUGUUAGGAAUUAGAGGAGAAAAUCAUAUUCUGGAAAUAAUGGCCAAUAGCAAGCAUGAAAUGGACAGCAUAACAUUCCAAUCUUUAUGACUCACCCAUUUAUUUUUGGAUUUCACACUUUUGGAAGCUUUGACUAGCUGGACCUUACCUUGAGCUGUUGCACCAGCAGAAGUAUCUAUAUUUGAUUGAAUGUCAUCUGCCAGAAUGUCACAAACAAAAUAUGAAUAAAAGUAAUAGCUAAAUUUUGUUGCAACAAAAUGAAAUCUAUAUUUACUCUAUUAUGUAGAACGGUAGUUUUAUUUACCAAUAACAAUCCCCUGAUCAUGAACCAAAACAGCAAGGUCCUUGAAUAUUUCAUUUGCUUCUCCAAUUUGCUCUUCAAUCUCUCUAAGACCCUGAUCUCUUUCUUCAAUCAUGGCUUCAUUGAAGGAUAUUUCAUUAUCCAAUAGAACUAUCUCUUGCCUGCAGUUUUAUUUCAGUGAUCAAGCAAAUAAGACCAUGAAAUAUCAUCUCAAAAAUCUUUCUGAAAAAACAAGAGUUGAAUAAGCCAAUAAUAAGAUAUGCAUCUUUGUAUUACAAAGAUACAAAUUGUUUACAAAUUUACAAUAAUAAGAUGAAGAAAUUUAAUUGGUCCAGGGAUAUAGUUGAAAUGUUGCUGACUAACCUCAUCUGCCCUCUGAUAAAAGGUUGGCUUUCCGGGUCUAUCUCAAUCGAUUCUUGACCAGGGCCAGAGCUGCUUACAAACACACAAAUGAUAUAGUAGAGUUCAAUAUUUGUUAAUGAAGAUAAAUAAGGUAAUCUGAAGGAGAUUCAUACAAAAAAAUCAGGUAUAAUUUGAUGUUUUUAGUCCCUAAAAAAUAACCAUUCAUCAACGUGAAGAUUUUACAGGAAUUAAACUUGAGCAGUCGUGAUUUUUUAAGGAUUAAAAACAUAUUUUUCCCAAUUCAAUGUACGAAGAAUGGUUGACCUUGUUGGUAAGUUAGAAGCAGGGGCAGCCGGAGUGUAAGUUGAUUCACGCUCAGAAGCAAGCUGUUGAACUUUCUGGAAUUCUUGCAAUGUGGUUUGGAAAUCUCUUGCCAACUUAGCAUCUUCAAUUUUCUUACUAGUCUGCUUAAUCAGAGUACAACAAACAAUGAGAGCAUAAAUAACCAACAUUCAUGAAAAAGCAUAUGGACUACUCCAAGAUAACAUCGCAAGGGUUAUCUUGCUAUAAUGUUUUCUUUUUAAAACUUGGCAUCCGGCAUUGAGACAGACUAAUCCAAUGAGAUCAAUUCCACCGUCCACUAGCAGGGGAGUCAUUUAAAGUCAGAGCAAAGCGUAUGGACUGACCCAACACAAGAAUUGUUAGCACCUAGCGGAAUUCGAAACUGAUACCUUGAGAGAAACACAGUCUCAUAACCCAAGCCUUCACCAUCAGGGCAACCCUUGCUAUCUUGAUAUAAUUAACUACUUUCCUACGGUUCAACAAGGCUUGCCUUUCAUGGAAAAUUAUAAUUUCCAAAUACAAGUUAGAAGCCAAAUUAUUUUCCCGUCUUUUCUAAGUAAUAAAGAAUGAUAUGAGCAAUUGUGUGUAAUCAAAAUUCAAAGUCACACAUGAAAUUUUUUUAUUUAAAAAAAAGGACAAAUUAACGAAGCAUACAUUGGCAUUAGCAUCACGAUGGGAUUCAGGCAAAGAUUUGAGUUUCGCAGAAGUAUCCUUCACAAGCUGCAAUAUCCUCUGUCUCGUAUUGUGCCUACAAACCAUAGCACAGUGAUAGAAUAAAAUGAAACAAAGCUAAAAAAAAAAAGUAAAUCCUAAAAAUAAACCUAAAAUAAGAAAUGCGAAGUUACAGUUUCUGACGGUGCUCUGGAGUAUCUUUAACGGUUCCAACGGAGUCAACGAGUCGCCGGAAAGUACCGACGGCGGUGUUGAUCUGGAAAAUUCCGGCAGCAACGGCUUGCGACGGUGACUGGGUUCGACGAGAAGGAGGAUUGGAACCACUUUGAAUAUCUUGAAAACUCAUGGCUGAAGUGAUUUUCUCAACUCAACUAUGAAAUGAAAUUAAAGUUAAUAAUUAUUGUCGAAUGAAUUGAGCACUCAAAGUAACGACUAAGCACUCUGUCCAGUCCCUACACCCACCUGUCUUUGGAUCAUAAAUUUUUUAAUAAUAAUAAUAAUAAUUAAAUAUGAAUUUUGAAUAAGUAAUUAUACAACAACUAUUAAAAUUCUCUCUUUUAUACUAAAAAAUUAAUAUAUUUUUAAGUUAUUUGGGAUGCUUGUUAAAAAAAGGUUUUUUGAAAUGCCGUGAGAGAAUACUGUGUAUAUUUUUUCCUUUGAAAUGCGGUAUAAUAAUACUGCAACAAACAAAAGUAGUUGAAGAUUUUUUGAAGCGUUGUAGUUGUAUCGUACUUAGUAGUUGGUAGAAAUUCGUUAGUAUUUAAAGUUGUCCUCCUCAUACUGCGUGUAACGUGUUCCUCGUGGGAGUGUUCUCGAGUUCCAUUCCUUUAUUUAUUUUUGCGGAUGGAAUGGAAUGUGGUGUAGUAGUAUGUAAGCCCCCCUCUCCCUUUUCUUUUCCCUUUGUUCUUUACAUGUAUACACGUAGACGUAGGUUCUUUUGAGAUUAAACUUUUACAAAAAAUUUACAACGCUUUUAAAUCGGCCAUGUGAUUAAUGUUGAAUAUAAUGGAAUUCAAAUUUAACAUAGUUAGCAUUUAAGUGAGUAUAUAUUUAUGUUUGAAUUUCAUUUGAGUUAUCGUAUAAAAGAUAAAGUUAAUUGGAAAUUCCAAAGUUAAUUGGAGAUUAUAACUAAAUUAAAAAUUUGGAAAAUAUAGUUUGAAAGUUAGUUAUAAAUUUUGUUCUUUCUAUUUUUUUGCAUUCUUUCUUCUUUAUCUUUAAUUCUUGUACAUCGAUGGAGAUCUAAUGUAGAUUUCGAUAAUUAGUAUAGAGAGCUUCGAUUCUGAUUCACAUGGAAACACGAGUGUUGUAAGGUGUGUGAUUGAUUUCGUUCCUGAAAUUUGCGUUGAAUUGAAGUUCGGAAUCGAAGAGAAUCACAGAUCUUGAUUCUCAAGAUUUGAGAAACACUAGUGUUUGUGAAAAUUGCGUGAUUUGCAUAAUAACGAAGAUGAACGGCGAAAAUAGUAGCUUGAGUACAAAGCUUUUAGUAUUUGACAGAAAGAAUUGGAACAAUGGUCGAUUCAUAUGGGUGUGUUGUUUGAAGUUCAAGAUGUUCUUGAUCUCGUCAAUGACGAUUACACACCAAUUGUAGAAAAUGCAAUAAAAGCACAAAGAAGUGCGCAAUGUGAAAUGAGGAAGAAGGAUCAGAAGGCGUUGUUCUAAAUCCAUCAGUGUGUGGAUACGAAGAUGUUUGAGAAAAUGGUUGAUUCGGUGAAGGCGGCAUGAGAUACAUUUGUGCGGUGUUAUGGUGGUGGUGCAUCAGUGAAGAAGGUAAAGUUAUAGUCUUUACGCAAGCAAUAUGAGAACCUCAACAUGAAGAACAAUGAGAAGGUGUUUGAUUACAUCUCCAGAGUGAUUAUGGUCACAAAUGAUGAAGUCUUAUGGAGAAAUGCUCUCUAAAUAAGUAAUCAUUUAAAAGGUAUUGAGAUCACUUACUCCUCGGUUUGAUUACAUAAUAGAAGUCAUAGAACACUCUAAAGACACCAUCACCAUGAGAAUUGAAGAGCUUCAUAGUAGUUUAGAGGCAUAAGAGUUGCGUCUGACUGGAAGAAACUGUUGUGCCUUUAAACUACUAUGAAACUCUUCAAUUCUCAUGGUGUUAGUGUCUUUAGAGUAUUAUAUGGCUACUACUAUGUAAUCAAACUGAGGAGUAAGUGAUCCCAAUACCUUUUGAAUGAUUACUUGUCCAGUGAGCGUUUUUUCACAAGAUUUCAUCUCAUUUGUGACCAGAAUCAAUCUGGAGAUGUAAUCAGGCACCUUCUCAUUAUUCUUCAUGUUGAGAUUAUCAUAUUGCUUGCGUAGAGACUGCAACUUUACCUUCUUCACUGAUGUGUCACCGCUAUAGAACCGUAUCAGUGUAUGUAACAUGCUAAGAAAGCUCAGACGUUGAAAGCUUUUUUUGGCAAGAAGAACCAAAAGCAAGCAUGGCUAGAGAACAAGAAAAAGUAUGGUGGUGGUGUUCAAAAGUCAGAACUCUCCAACUCUAAAGAAAAGAAACAUAAGAAUGUUCAUAAGGGAAAAGAGAAGUUUGAUAAGAGAAAGGUUUAGUGUUAUAGUUGCAACAAGUUUGGCCAUUUUGCUGCAGAUUGUUGGUCAAACAAGGCUAGCCAUGGUGAAGAAGCCAACAUAGUCAAAGGAGAUUCUGAUGAAUGUGAUAUUGGUGGAAUUUGAGAAUGCAGGUGAAAAAUUGGUAGGUUGGUUGUAUAUGGACAUUGACUGCUUAAAUCACCUAAUUGGAAACAAGCAAUGGCUUAUUGAUUUUGACUCUGAUAAAAGGACCAAGAUCAGAUGUGAUGAUCAUGAGUAUUUGAGUGAUAAAUGAAUGGGAAAUGUCAGAUUAAAAUUGAAAAAUGGUAAAACUAUACUGAUUAAGGAUGUCUGGUAUGUUCCUGGCAUGAAUAGGAAUUUGAUGAGUGUAGGUCAACUGAUUAAAAAUGGUUUUUCAAUAACCAUGAAGGACAAUCUCUUGAAGUUGUAUGACUGUAAUCAGAAGUUGAUUAUGCAGUCUGAAUUGGGAAGAAAUAGGAUAUUCAAGGUGAAUGUUGCAAUAGCAGACACUCCCUUAAUGCCUGAGUGCUAAAAGUGUUGAAGGGGAAAGUGAGUUAUGGCACAAGAGAUUGGGGCAUCUGAACUACAAAAGCUUUGGGAAUUUUAGUUCAAAGAAUCUGGUACAUGGAAUUCCUAAAAUUGUGGCACCAGAGAAAUCAUGUGAUAUAUGCAUGAGAAGAAAGCAACCAAGAUUGUCAUUCUCUCCUGAAAUGCCUCUAAUAGCAACGCAUGUUUUGGGUGUGGUGAAUUUUGAUGUAUGUGGGCCAUUUUAGGUACCUUCACUUGGAGGAAACAAUUACUUUGUGUCAUUUAUGGAUGAGUUCACAAGAAUGAUAUGGGUAGCACUCAUAAAGUUCAAACAUGAGAUGUUUGUUGAGUUCAAGAAAUUCAAAGUGAAGGCUGAAAAUCAAAGUGGACAAAGAUUGGAGAUCCUCAAGACCGAUAGUGGAGGUGAUUUCAAUUCAACAGAGUUCAAGAAGUUAUAAGGAACAUGGUAUUAAGCAUGAGGUGACUACUUCAUACACUCCACAACAUAAUGUUCUUGUUGAAAGGAUGAAUAGAACUUUGUUUGACAUGACAAAGAGCAUCCAAAAUGAGAAGAAUCUACCUCACACAUUGUGGGGUGAAGCAAUUGCCACAGAAGCAUAUGUGCUCAAUAAAUGUCUAACAAAGAAGUUAAAGGAAGUAGUUCUUAUUGAGCAGUGGAUUUGAAGAAAGAAAAGUGUUAGCCAUUUCAAAGUGUUUGGUUUUGUAUGUUACAAACAUAUUCCGGAUGCUACUAUAAGGAAAUUGGAUGACACAAGCAGAGUCAUGAUACUUAUAGGUUACCACAGUACAGGUACUUAUAAACUUUAUUGCCCAGUCACCAACAAGGUUGAAGUCAUCAGGGAUAUCAUAGUGAAAGAAUAAAAAAUAUGGGAUUUGAGCAAGUCUCAAUCCAACUAUAGUGUAGUGUUAACACUAGAGUCUGAUUUUGCCUCUGAAGGAUAUUUUUCCUCUAAAGGAGAUUCUGCCUUUGAAGGUAAUUCUGACUCUAAAGAAGAGUCUGAAUCUGAAGAUGACUCUGACUCUGAAGGUGAGUCUAACUCUGAAGGUGAGUCUGA